rnacentral:lncRNA from 1 species
ACACUCUAUUUUUCCCAAACAUCAUUUUAUACCAAAAACACAUACACACAUAAAAAAGGGCUCCCUAGGAGUACCUAGGACACUUUGGGUGCUAACACCUUCCCUCUGUGUAACCAACCCCCUUACCUGUAAUAUCUGGCAUAAUAAAAAAGGGCUCCCUAGGAGUACCUAGGACACUUUGGGUGCUAACACCUUCCCUCUGUGUAACCAACCCCCUUACCUGUAAUAUCUGGCAUUUUAUUAGUUUUGAUUUGAAAACUUCUUAUCUUUAGGUUUU